ensembl:lncRNA
CUUUUAGGCUACUGGAAGCUGGAAUUGACAUAUAUAAUAACUUUUCUCUAUAUAUUCUCAUUGUAACUAUAAGUAAGUCUGCAGAUGUAACAUGCAGAUAUAUUAGUAUCAUUAUAAAAGUGUAGUCCUAUGUAAAAUAUAAGGGGAUAUAUAGGAAGUGCCUUUUUAUUCAUACAAAUUAAAUUAUGUAUGUCAUUUCCAAGCUGAAGCCAAUAUGCCCCCAGUGAUGUUGAUUAUGUUUUAUGAAUGUGGAAGCUAACCCAGGACCUUUUAGCACAACGGCUAACGAUAGCUUUACAUGUCUGGGGUCAAAGUUCAAACAGUCUCUCUUUGGUUCUCAUCAGGUUUUCUGCUAUAAUGGAGUUUGUCAUUUUAAGGUUACUCGGUGUGAAUGCGUUUUCGAGUGGGGUAGCCUUGUAGACACACUCUCAUAGUCCUGGAAUGCGGCUGGCGUUUAACCUUGGUCAAUUCCAAGGCAAUACCCGAUAACAAAAACGCCAUAAACAUUGCAUUAUCAUUUUAUUUGUGCCAAAGAUAUGUUGUGUCUAAUAAGUUAAUGUUUGACCCUUCGCUGAAGCCAAAAUGCAUGCUUUAGUCGGGCUGUUGUUAGUUCAAAUGUUUUUUAAAAAAUGGUAUCGGUUACAUAAGCAGUUUGUCAUGUUCGUUUCAGUUUUGCAAUGAAUGAACUAUAUAUCUAUAAGAUAUAAGCAACAUCAGCUUUGAAACAAAAAAAAUAAAAAAUGGUAGAGGAUAGAUAUGGGAAGAGUAGCCACACUUUGUGCUAAAUCAGGGGUGUCCAAACUAUGGUCCUGGGGCCAAAUGCGGCCCUCAGACCAUUUUUAUUGGUCUGUCAAACUGGACCAAGUGAUCAUACGUAAGUUUUUUCAGCAAUUUAAGUAUUUCUACCACCAUAACCUCAAUAAUAUCACAUUUUGUUGUGAAACAGACCUAAAAUUAAUGUUUCAAGCUUUAUUAAAAGGUAUGACGGUGGCGUUAAAAGCAUAUCAAAUGCAACCAUCUAAAAUCAAAUGAAGUAUUGACCACCGUUUUGUGGCCUUCUGCUUCGAAUAUGUUUCAAGAUCAGUAAAAAUGUUUGGACACCCAUGUGCUAAAGUAGUCACUGCAAAUAUGAAUUAAGUAUUGUGCUCAAAUACUGGCCAGUAGUCUAGUAACUUAUUCAUACCACCUUUGCUGAAAUGCCACAUGAGGUUGCCUGGUAUAAAGUGUGUUGUUGAUGACCAAGCAAAUUCCUCUGGCUUGUUGUGGAGAUUUUAUCGCUGAAGCGCAGGUGGUGCACGCUAGCUCUGCCCUCCAGCUGUGUAUGUGAGUCCAUUAUACCAUUCAAGCACAAUUAGUCAGCUAUUGUUUUCAUUAGAGAGUGAGCGAGAGUAGAGUUUUAGCAGUACUGCAAAGAAAGCAUCUACUAAAUGAGUUAAAAAUGACUUGGUAUUCACAAUUUGAAUGAAAGUGUUUUUAGUUGGCUGACCUAGAUGAAUUGACACGCUUUGAGAGUAGAGUGUUUAUGCAAAAUACAAUGACUGAAAAAAAAAUAUGGGUAAAGAAUCUAGGUCUAUGGGAAUAUGCAAGUCAUUUUAUCUUACGUUGUGAUGUUUUUUUGCGGUGUAGAAGGUUAACCGCGUGUAAAUAAUAUAGAAGGACACGACGAAUAGUGCAGAGAUAAGAAGGAACUUUGUUGUUGAAAAAUAACAAAGAUGGAGGAUGGUUUGGAAGGAAUUGUAAUGUAGAAUAGUGAGUUUAGUAAGUGAGAUGAGGGGAAGUGGAAAGUUUUGUUCAUGCCAAAGAAAUUAUCAGGAAGUUUGUGUGUUUUGGAGUUUUGAGUCUUGAAUUGGGAAUCAUUCAUAAGGACAUUAACCUAAUAAUAAAGACAAGCCCAAACGCAUUAUUUGCUACUGUUUGGAGUAUUUGUUGAGCUUUUGUUGUUACUUUUUGAGAUGUGCUACCAUAAUUGAAAAAGUCUACUAUGUGGUAAUAAAAAUGUCUAAAGUAGAACUAAGCAAAGUCUAAACCAAGUCCAUAGAACUAAACCAGGUUCAAAAAUCACCAGAACCGGCUCUUAACUAAGAACCAAACCACCAACUAUGACAGGCUACACCAGGUCUAAACUAAGCAGGGAUAAAACAUUCAAAUACUUCAUGUGACUUGUUUUAUGCGUCCACUGUUUGAGAACCCCUGAGAAUCCCUAUGGGCAAAGAAUGACAUCAUUUGAGCUUUAACUAUAGUACAUUGUUUUACUUUUUCUCUGUGCUUGAGAUGCCAGAGGCUGUUUGUUCAGCUUGUAGGGUCAUUCCAGUGUCCGUGUCUUGGCCCUCACAUUUUUGCGUUACAAAUUUCAUCAGGAGUUGAAAUAUGGAACAAGACUCACUGACAUCACCAAAAAUACCAAAUAACAUGGAAAACCAACAACCCCCGAGCGAAUACUGUUGAAUGUUUUAACCAAUGGGAAUCGUCCAUGUGUCAGGAAAGGUCCUGGGUUCCAAAAAAACCUAUUAUAACAUUGCAUUUUAUUGCCGAGUUUUUAUUUUGUAUUGCAUUUUAUUGUCAAC